rnacentral:rRNA from 1 species
AGAACGAACGUUAGCGGCGCGCUUAACACAUGCAAGUCGCACGAGAAAGGGCUUCGGCCCCGGUAAAGUGGCGCACGGGUGAGUAACACGUGGAUAAUCUUCCCUCGGGCGGGGGAUAACAUUCCGAAAGGAGUGCUAAUACCGCAUAAGACCACAGUCUCGAAAGAGACAGCGGUCAAAGCCGGCCUCUAUAUAUAAGCUGGUACCUGAGGAUGAGUCCGCGGCCCAUCAGCUAGUUGGUAGGGUAAUGGCCUACCAAGGCAAAGACGGGUAGCUGGUCUGAGAGGAUGAUCAGCCACACUGGAACUGAGACACGGUCCAGACUCCUACGGGAGGCAGCAGUGGGGAAUAUUGGACAAUGGGCGCAAGCCUGAUCCAGCCAUGCCGCGUGGAUGAUGAAGGCCUUAGGGUUGUAAAGUCCUUUUAACGGGAAGAUAAUGACGGUACCGUAGAAUAAGCCCCGGCUAACUUCGUGCCAGCAGCCGC